GGUAGUUGCUCCCUACCCUACUCAUCAUUGUUGGUUUGGUAACUUAAAUAUUAUUCAACUAUCUCUAAUCUCUAAAGACUUUCUCUGUUAUUUCUGCCCCCCGCCCCCCUUUAUUUUAUUGAUACCCACCCGAAUGGUCUUGCUUGACCAAUCCUCACCUCCUCUGUGCAUCUUCAUUCCAUAGUUUUAUUGCAGGCUUUUUUUGACCCUAUCCUCUCUCUUUCCACAGUCUGAGUUUUAAAAGCUCCCUACUGCAAUCCAGGACCGAAACGAAUUGCACAUGUCUAAUAUGUUCUUUAUCCUGCUGAAAGAGCCCACUGCAGUCAAGGAAGAUGUGUACAUUGACCUGAGCAUAGCACUGCCUCCGCCAGCCUGCCUAUUUCCCAUAGUGCAUCCUGCUGCUAUUUCUUACCUAGGUAAAUGACACACAUGCACCUGCCCUCUACCUGUUCUAAAAGUAAAUGUAAUUCAUCAGACCAGGCAAUCUUCUUCCAUUGCUCCGUGGUCUAGUUCUGCAUGCUCACAUCCACAUUGAAGGCACUAUUGGUGGUGUUCAAGGGUCAUCAUGGGAAUGUUGCCUGGUCUGCUGCCCAUGUGCAGCAAACUGUGAUGGACUAUGUGUUCUAAAACCUUACUGUUGUGGC